GAGGGUGUAGCUCAACGGUAGAGGGCAUGCUUAGCAUGCAGGAGGUCCUGGGUUCAAGCCCCACUACCUCCA
rnacentral:tRNA from 1 species